rnacentral:rRNA from 1 species
GAUGAACGCUGGCGGCGUGCCUAAUACAUGCAAGUCGAGCGAACGGACGAGAAGCUUGCUUCUCUGAUGUUAGCGGCGGACGGGUGAGUAACACGUGGAUAACCUACCUAUAAGACUGGGAUAACUUCGGGAAACCGUAGCUAAUACCGGAUAAUAUUUUGAACCGCAUGGUUCAAAAGUGAAAGACGGUCUUGCUGUCACUUAUAGAUGGAUCCGCGCUGCAUUAGCUAGUUGGUAAGGUAACGGCUUACCAAGGCAACGAUGCAUAGCCGACCUGAGAGGGUGAUCGGCCACACUGGAACUGAGACACGGUCCAGACUCCUACGGGAGGCAGCAGUAGGGAAUCUUCCGCAAUGGGCGAAAGCCUGACGGAGCAACGCCGCGUGAGUGAUGAAGGUCUUCGGAUCGUAAAACUCUGUUAUUAGGGAAGAACAUAUGUGUAAGUAACUGUGCACAUCUUGACGGUACCUAAUCAGAAAGCCACGGCUAACUACGUGCCAGCAGCCGCGGUAAUACGUAGGUGGCAAGCGUUAUCCGGAAUUAUUGGGCGUAAAGCGCGCGUAGCGGUUUUUUAGUCUGAUGUGAAAGCCCACGGCUCAACCGUGGAGGGUCAUUGGAAACUGGAAAACUUGAGUGCAGAAGAGGAAAGUGGAAUUCCAUGUGUAGCGGUGAAAUGCGCAGAGAUAUGGAGGAACACCAGUGGCGAAGGCGACUUUCUGGUCUGUAACUGACGCUGAUGUGCGAAAGCGUGGGGAUCAAACAGGAUUAGAUACCCUGGUAGUCCACGCCGUAAACGAUGAGUGCUAAGUGUUAGGGGGUUUCCGCCCCUUAGUGCUGCAGCUAACGCAUUAAGCACUCCGCCUGGGGAGUACGACCGCAAGGUUGAAACUCAAAGGAAUUGACGGGGACCCGCACAAGCGGUGGAGCAUGUGGUUUAAUUCGAAGCAACGCGAAGAACCUUACCAAAUCUUGACAUCCUUUGACAACUCUAGAGAUAGAGCCUUCCCCUUCGGGGGACAAAGUGACAGGUGGUGCAUGGUUGUCGUCAGCUCGUGUCGUGAGAUGUUGGGUUAAGUCCCGCAACGAGCGCAACCCUUAAGCUUAGUUGCCAUCAUUAAGUUGGGCACUCUAAGUUGACUGCCGGUGACAAACCGGAGGAAGGUGGGGAUGACGUCAAAUCAUCAUGUCCCUUAUGAUUUGGGCUACACACGUGCUACAAUGGACAAUACAAAGGGCAGCGAAACCGCGAGGUCAAGCAAAUCCCAUAAAGUUGUUCUCAGUUCGGAUUGUAGUCUGCAACUCGACUACAUGAAGCUGGAAUCGCUAGUAAUCGUAGAUCAGCAUGGUCCGGUGAAUACGUUCCCGGGUCU